UUUUUUUGGAAAUGCAGCAUUCCUACCUGGUACACGUCACUAUGAGUAUGACGCAAUACUCGCAUCGCAAAUUGACUCCAUAGAAAAGGGUGACAUAGGAACUGGAGAGGUACCAACUGACAAUUGUCAACUAUGUGAUGUCUAUGCAAUAGAAGAUGCGUGGGUUCAAUGUGUUUGUAAAAUUGUGGAUUGCCCAUCAGUCAUCGCCGAGCAAGUAGAGUUAAAAGGGUCACUUCCUGAAAAAGAUACUACACG